rnacentral:rRNA from 1 species
UAUAGAGGUCUCAAGCGUUGUUCGGAUUCAUUGGGCGUAAAGGGUGCGUAGGUGGCGUGGUAAGUCGGGUGUGAAAUUUCGGAGCUUAACUCCGAAACUGCAUUCGAUACUGCUGUGCUUGAGGACUGGAGAGGAGACUGGAAUUUACGGUGUAGCAGUGAAAUGCGUAGAGAUCGUAAGGAAGACCAGUGGCGAAGGCGGGUCUCUGGACAGUUCCUGACACUGAGGCACGAAGGCCAGGGGAGCAAACGGG